CAGCCAGAUAAAGGCCCGGCUGAUUCCCCAUGCUGGCGUCUUCGGCGUGCAUGGCUCCCCCGGCUCUUCCGGUCCUGCAGAAGUGGGAUCAGAAUUUUACUCAGAAUGGAAAGAAACAAGAAGCAGAGGUAAGAAGUGAAAGUGUGAAGAAGAUGGAAAGAACAAUGUAACCUAGAAGCAAAGCGAUGGACUUAGAAAGAAGCAUCAACAUACUCUGCAUCUCUGUAGUCCAGCUGUCAGAGUAAACAAGCCCUCUUCUAACCAUGUGCUCAAUGGUAUUAUAAGCAGAGCUGGUAGCAUGAUAGUUAAGAUUAUCUGACAUUUUCCAUUAUAUGACCCUGUUUUCAAUUGCUCUUUUCAACCCGGUUGAAAUUAUUGCAAACUUUUUUUUUUUUAAAUAAAGAUUAACCUAAAAUGGU